rnacentral:rRNA from 1 species
UACGGAGGGUGCAAACGUUGCUCGGAAUCAUUGGGCGUAAAGCGAGCGUAGGCGGUCUUGUAAGUCGGAUGUGAAAGCCCUCGGCUCAACCGAGGAAGUGCACCCGAAACUGUAAGACUUGAGUGUCGGAGAGGGUGACGGAAUUCCCGGUGUAGAGGUGAAAUUCGUAGAUAUCGGGAGGAACACCAGUGGCGAAGGCGGCCACCUGGACGAUAACUGACGCUGAGGCUCGAAAGCGUGGGGAGCAAACAGG